GCAGUGCCCUAUCCAGAACGGUACCAAUUGCGUAGAGCAUGUGUCUAAUUGGGUCCAUUCUGGGUAGAGUAAGGCA
rfam:Otolemur garnettii contig090497, whole genome shotgun sequence.